UCCCCCCAACAGCCAUUUGAACGAAUCUUUGAACAAAUCAUUGUCUUUGAAUUGCAUUCACCGCAGGUUCUCUGUCAACAGCAGUAGUCUGGGUUUAGAAAUUGGUGUUAUAAGCCUUGGUCUUUCAGGUGCACCUGGGAAAAGAAUUCUGCACAAGGCACCACAGGCUGCCUGAGGAGAGAGAGGCCGGAAAGGGAAUGUGGUAGGAGCUGUUCACUAGGUCAGUGACCUUGGUGCCUAGGUACUCUGUGAUGAGCUCCAGUGGUAAGGCCUCUGCUUCUGAGGGCCUCCCUGACCACUGGCAGAACCUGUGGGCCUGCGUGGGGCGGGCAACUAGGCCUCGGCUGUCUCCUGAGGCGAGAGAUAUCAGGGAGUCUCCCCUAGGCCUCAGAUGGGAGGAGGCUCCUGAGGGCACUGAGUACAAGUGAACUAGCUUCCCCUGGUGUUGAGAGGGGCUCAGGGAAUCUGUGGGUGCGGUAGGGAAAGAGUGCAGACACGCUUCGUACCUUUGCCUCUUACAGUUCCUUAUUGACACCAGGGCUCCUGUGUCCUCGAAAUAUCAAGCGAGCAGGGUCCUCUCCUGAGUGUGUGGCACAGGUUCAUUUCUGGUGACGCAGUGCCAGGGCCUGAGUCAGCCCUAAACUGCUUAGUCCUCUGAGGGAUGAUGGGAACACAGGGCACAGCUUUGUGCCAUCAUCAAGGUCAACUCCCACCCACCAACCUCAGGCCACCCCGCCCAUGGAAAGUCAGAAACUCAGCUGGAGGAGCAUAGGUGGAGUUGUGCAGGAGAGAGACGCUCUGCGCUCCUCACUGCAUACCCGACAGGACAGGGCACCACACCAUUGUCAGCCUCCAUGAACCUCCCUGCUCUGGUACCUGUUCCCAAGACUCUUACUUAAUUCCUUUUCUCUGCCAUUGCAAUCCCAACAUUUAGGGGUUAGGGCUCAAACCUUCGCACAAGAAGACAUGCCAUACAAGGGGAAGAAGGCUACAAGCAAAACUGCGAAGCGCCCGAGGGAGUCUUCGGAUUCUCAAUCUGAUGAUGAUGUUGUCCAUCACAAUUUUCCCCCCAGACCAGAAAAGCAUGUGAUUGAGAUCAGUGAUGAGGACAGUUCUUCAUCAGACCAAGACGAUCAGCAGGCAAGGU
rnacentral:lncRNA from 1 species